CUUUGUCAGUUUCAGAGGGUAGAUUUCUCAGUCUUGCUCUUUCCCAAGUUCUGCACGCCCUUGUGUGUGUGUGUGUGUUUUUUUUUUUUUUUUGCUCAAAUAUUGAACCUAAGCUAGCAUCUGUUGCCCUUCUUCGUCAGUUUCAGAGGGUGGAUUUCUCCGUGUUGCUUUUUCCCCAGGUCUCCACGCCCUUGUGUGUUUCUUUUGCUUAACGAUUGCCACCUGAGCUAGCCUCUGUGGCCCAUUUUCGUCAGCUUCAGAGGGUGGAUUUCUCAGUGUUGCUUUUUCCCCAGGUCUCCAAGUCCCUCAGUGUGUGUGUGUGUGAGUGUGUGUGUUUUCUUUGCAAGAUUGGCACUUGAGCUAACGUGUGUUAACCAGUCUUUGUCAGUCAGAGGCUAGAUUUUUCAGUAUCGCUCUUUCCCAAGGUCUCCACUCCCUUGCUCUUUUCUUUCUUCCUAGCUUUCUUUCUUUCUUUCUUUCUUUUUGGCUUAAAUAUUGUCACCUGAGCUAGGCUCUGUUGCCCUGCUUCCUCCGUUUCAGCGGGUACCUUUUUUCAGGGUUGCUUUUUCACCGGGUCUCCUCCCCAUUGUAGUUUUUUUAUUUUAUUUUAUAUUUUGGCCUAAUGAUUGCCACCUGAGGUAGCCUCUGUGGCCCAUCUUCGUCAGUUUUCAGAGUGUGGAUUUCUCCGUGCUGCUUUUUCCCCCAGGUCUCCACGCCCCUUGUGUGUUUCUUUUGCUUAACGAUUGCCACCUGAGCUAGUCUCUGUUGCCCAUCUUUGUCAGUUUCAGAGGGUAGAUUUUUCAGUCUUGCUCUUUCCCAAGUUCUGCACGCCCUUGUGUGUGUGUGUGUGUGUGUUUUUUUUUUUUGCUCAAAUAUUGAACCAAAGCUAGCAUCUGUUGCCCAUCUUCGGCAGUUUCAGAGGGUAGAAUUCUCAGUGUUGCUUUUUCCCCAGGUCUCCACGCCCUUGUGUUUCCCUUUUGCUUAAAGAUUGCCACCUGAGCUAGCCUCUGUUGCCCAUCGACGACAGUUUCAGAGGGUACAUUUCUCAGUGCUGCUUUUUCCCCAGGUCUCCACGCCCUUGUGUGUUUCUUUUGCUUAACGAUUGCCACCUGAGCUAGCCUUUGUUGCGCUUCUUUCUCAGUUUCUGAGGGUGGAUUUCUCCGUGUUGCUUUUUCCCCAGGUCUCCACGCACUUCCUUUUAUUUUUCCUUAAAAAUUGCCACCUGAGCUAGCCCGUGUUGCCCAUGUUCGUCAGUUUGAGAGGAAGGAUUUCUCAGAGAUGCUUUUUCCCCAGGUCUCCACGCCCUUGUGUGUUUCUAUUGCCUAGCGAUUGCCACCUGAGCUAGCCUCUGUGCCCCAUCUUCCUCAGUUUCAGAGGGUAGAUUUCCUCAGUGCUGCUUAUUGC
rnacentral:lncRNA from 1 species